UAGCCGUAAACGAUACUCGCUAGGUGUCGGCCACGGUGCGACCGUUGUCGGUGCCGUAGGGAAGCCGUGAAGCGAGCCACCUGGGAAGUACGGCCGCAAGGCUGAAACUUAAAGGAAUUGGCGGGGGAGCACAACAACGGGUGGAGCUUGCGGUUUAAUUGGACUCAACGCCGGGAAGCUCACCGGAUAAGACAGCGGAAUGAUUGCCGGGCUGAAGACUCUGCAUGACUAGCUGAGAGGAGGUGCAUGGCGUAGUCGUGU
rnacentral:rRNA from 1 species